AACACAUGCAAGUCGAACGCUGAAGCCUGGCUUUUGUUGGGUGGAUGAGUGGCGAACGGGUGAGUAACACGUGAGUAACCUGCCCCCUUCUUUGGGAUAACGCCCGGAAACGGGUGCUAAUACUGGAUAUUCACUGGUCUUCGCAUGGGGGUUGGUGGAAAGGGUUUUCUGGUGGGGGAUGGGCUCGCGGCCUAUCAGCUUGUUGGUGGGGUGAUGGCCUACCAAGGCUUUGACGGGUAGCCGGCCUGAGAGGGUGACCGGUCACAUUGGGACUGAGAUACGGCCCAGACUCCUACGGGAGGCAGCAGUGGGGAAUAUUGCACAAUGGGCGCAAGCCUGAUGCAGCGACGCCGCGUGAGGGAUGGAGGCCUUCGGGUUGUGAACCUCUUUCGCUCAUGGUCAAGCCGCAACAAUGGUUGUGGUGAGGGUAGUGGGUAAAGAAGCGCCGGCUAACUACGUGCCAGCAGCCGCGGUAAUACGUAGGGCGCGAGCGUUGUCCGGAAUUAUUGGGCGUAAAGGGCUUGUAGGCGGUUGGUCGCGUCUGCCGUGAAAUCCUCUGGCUUAACUGGGGGCGUGCGGUGGGUACGGGCUGACUUGAGUGCGGUAGGGGAGACUGGAACUCCUGGUGUAGCGGUGGAAUGCGCAGAUAUCAGGAAGAACACCGGUGGCGAAGGCGGGUCUCUGGGCCGUUACUGACGCUGAGGAGCGAAAGCGUGGGGAGCGAACAGGAUUAGAUACCCUGGUAGUCCACGCUGUAAACGUUGGGCACUAGGUGUGGGGGCCACCCGUGGUUUCUGCGCCGUAGCUAACGCUUUAAGUGCCC
rnacentral:rRNA from 1 species